rnacentral:misc_RNA from 1 species
UGUGGGAGCUGGCUUGCCUGCGAUGCAGACACUUCGGUACAACAGAUGUACCGAGGUGAUGCCAUCGCAGGCAAGCCAGCUCCCACA